UCCAGACGGGCUUCUCCUCGCUUCCUCACCCGAUACUAUACAUGGGCUGACACCUGACAGUCCGUUUCUGGCCUCGCAACGUCACUUGCCGACUCGCUCGACCAAGGAAAGAAACAAUCUAUCCGUUUAUCCAAAAAAAAAACAGUUGUCCGUCUUCCUCAUCGCACAGCGGCCGUGACGCUCAUCCGCCGCCGCCCUCCUCCAGCUUAAAAAGCAAGCCGUGCCAUCCGCUUGAGGCACUCAAGUCUGCCCCCGCCACCACCACUACCACCGGCCUCCAUGCUGGAAAUACCAGCUAUCAUGGCAUGUACUGGAUGCAGAUACUACAUAGCACCUACUUUUAUUGACCACAAGAAUGGUACCUCUUCUUUUCAGUUCACCUGUGUGCGGUUGUAAAGAUGGAUGCUCCCAAAAAUCCUCCAAGUCAUCCUGGAACUAUCUUCGAACCCAUAAGGACCAAGUCAUUCAUCAUCCACUCUACAGCCAAAAGAAGCAUUGAAUUUACUGAACAUGAAACACCAAACAAAGCAAGCAUUUCCGACAAGAAUGUUGCAGCAAACAUCUAACAAAGGCAGGAGGAUAAAGAAUAAAAUAACAUAAAUGCAGGGCAUCAUCAAGCACGCAUGGAAAACUCAAUAUUGCGAUGGCUUCUACCUAAAUUAGCUAUGUAGUUGCUUACAUGAAGAGUUACUGAUUAAUGCAUUCACUCGCUUCUAUUGUAAUUCGGAAUAACUCAGAAUGGUCUGUAUGCGCUAUUUUCUGGACCUAUUAGUGUGGUUUUAGACCUUUGGGAUGACAGAAUUAAUAGGAUGCUUACAUUUUCUGUAUGCUCUAUUUUCUGGUGUUGUACCUUACAAAAAAAACACUAGGAAUAUAGAGUGUUUAUGCACCCUUUGCUGGUCAGUUGUCUACUAUCCCUGAUGCAGCAAGGAAAGGUACCGCAGGGCCCCAAGACGGAGCUGCUGACAAAUACAUGUGUGCUGCUCCAGCGGCCAUCAUCAUCCGGCUUUGGUUGGUAAUGUCCCUUAGCAUCGUGGUGAGCAUUUGGUGUGUGCAUAACAUAAGUACCUUAAUUAUUCUUCUAGGAAAACUGUCACGGAUACUUUCUUUCGUUUGGCAACCAUUUUAAAGCUGCUGUAAUACCAAUUUAAGGCACCAGAACACCCCUCUAC